rnacentral:lncRNA from 1 species
ACUACUUCAGCUCUGACUCUUGCUCUUCCUCUGACUUCAUCGGAUCAUCAUCGGAUCUCCGAUCGUAGCUACCGUUGACCGCUUCGUUACCAUCUUCAUCUUCAUGCUCCAUUAAAGCUAAGUUCUUAACCUCCCUUUUCAUUAUCCUUUUCAUGUUCUUUCUCUACUUUUUCAAUUAUUUAUUUGUAAGAAACAAAAGAACUUUUAGGGACAUUACUGAAAAACAUUACUUGGGCACUUGUUUUUCAAUGAUUCUUUUAAAUUUUUUUGUUCUUUUCAUUUUUUUUCUAAUAUCUUCUACAAACUUUCUAAAAUUGAAACACAAAAUCUAUAAUAUAAAAGAAUGAAUAAUAGAAGUAAUUGAUCUUUACUUUCUUUAUAAUAUAUAUAUAAGUCCAUGAAAUUACAUAUGAGCAUAUAUAUAUAUAACGUUAAAAAAUAUAAACAUUUGAAAGUGAAGUAAGAUUUUUUUUGUUUUAAAUUUUCAAUAGAAAGAAAUUACAAAUAAAUUUUAACGAAAAAUAAAUUAAAUAGUUAUUAGAUCAACCAAAUUUAGAAACAUAUACAAAUAUUAAGAAAAAUGUAAUUUAAAGUUGUUGCUAUGUUUUUUCUUUUCAAUAUAUUGAGCUGACAAAUUAAUAUAGCUUAAACAGACAAAAGUUUACAAAUUAUUUUGCACACACAUAUUCUUUUAUAUAAUUUAAAUCAAUAAAAUUUUAAAAUUCUUUCAAAAGUAUGUUUUGAGAUUGCUCUUUAAAUUAAAUAUGUAAACUUAAAUAAAGUAUCUCUUUCAUUUUGUCUGGGAUAGUAUAAUAUAUCUUUGGGCAAUCUCUUAUCUUUUUUACUGCUUUUUGUUAUUUCUUUCUACUUUUUUAUUCAAUUCAUUAUGUAUAUAUUUAAAUUUUUUAAAAAUAUUUUAUUUUUAUUAAAAAAUAUUUUUUUUAAUACUCAGACCGCACUAAUGGGAUUGCAUUGAUUUUUGUUGUUGUUGUUGUUUGGUGUUCUUUUAAAUUUUAAUAUUUUUUAUAUUAUUGUAUAGAUAUGUACUCAAUUUCUUGUUUCUAUGUUAUUUCAUAUCUUGAAAUUCUCUCUCUCUCUAUAUAUAUAACAAUUAAAAUGAUGUAAUUUUAUGAAAAAAAUAAAAAGUUGAAGUUGUGUUCUGGUUGUUUUCAAAUUUGAAUACAACAUCAAUUAAUGUUUAGAAUCUCGAAGGUCAGACAGUGAAUUUGUUUUCAUAUUCCAUGAUUUAAGACAUACAAGCAUCCAUUUUUUUGGGUAGGAAUACGAGACAUACUUUACUAAAACUUUGAAAAAAAAUGUAAUUUUCACUUUACAAUCAAUCUUUUAAUACUUAGAGUUAUAUAAAUUAAAUCAAUUCAAUUUUUAAUUGAAGUCAAAAUAUUUGUGUUGAUUAAUUGUUAUAUGCACAAGUUGAGCCCCAAUUUCAAUCUUAUUAUACUUAGAGCUGCAUAAAUUGAAGCAGUUCAAUUUUUUGAUUAAAGUCAAACAUUAUGAUAUAUGAUUGACUAGUCAUUACAUCCACAAAUUGAUACUUCAUUCAUUCUUGUAAUACUUAGAGUUAUACAAAUUGAAUCAAUCUAUUUUUUCAAUUGAAGUCAAACACAUUUAUUGAAUUAUAGUUUAAUACACAAAUUGAGUCCCAAUUCAAUCUUAUAAUACUUAGAGUUAUAUAAAUUGAAAUCUUUUAAUUUUUCAUUAAAGUCAAACACCAAAAUUGACUAACUGUUACAUCAAGAAAUUGAGUCUCAGCUCAAUCCUAUAGUACUUAAGAGUUAUAUAAACUAAAGUAAUACAAUCUUUCAUUCAAAGUCAAACAUUAGGAUUGACUAAUGGUACAUCCACAAAUUGAGACACAUUUCAAUUUUUCAAUUCAAGUUAGGUAUUUAUUGACCACUUGUUACAUUCACAAAUAGAGUAUCAGUUCAAUCUUAUAAUACUUAGGGUUACAUAUAAAUUGAAAUAGUUCAAUUUAUUAAUUAAAUUCAAAUAUUAGAAUAGACUAAUUGUUACAUCCACAAACUGAGUCUUUAUAAUAAUUAGAAUUAUAUACAACAACAACAACAACAACACAACAACAACAACAACAACAAACCCAGUGUAUUCCCACCUAGUGGGGUCUGGGGGGUAAGAUGGACGUAGUCCAUACCUCUACCUCUGAUGAAGUAGAAAGGCUGUUUCCGAUAGACCCCGGCUCAAGGCACGAGAUACCACACAAACACAUAGUAAUUAUAUAAACUGAAAUAAUUCAGUUUCUUAGUUAAAGUCAAAUAUUAGGAUUGACUGAUUAUUACACCUAAUAAGGCAUGUUUUCUCUCUGGGUGCAUGAUAGCAGGACUACUAACGUACACCUUCAUUGAAAAUGGCUCCACCACGAAAUGUGACAUCUUCGCCACCAGUACUUGUCACGCUGGCGAGUGCUGUACAACAGCAACUAGGUCCGUUAACAUUUGAAAAUUUUCUUUCUCACUCAUUUCAGGCUAUCAGUAAGGAAAACGAGUUAGAGGCUACGAUGAUGGUGCAUCUAGAUCUAGCAGGGAAGAGAAUCUCAAGGUAAACUGAGGAUUUGCAAUUUCCUCGAUGCCUUAAAUUCUCUGGAGCUGGGGCUUUUUCCCGCACCUCACCUGUGGAUACUAUUGAUGUGAAGGCAGAAUUGAAAAAUGAUCAAGUGGAAUCUAUGAAUUGUAGCUCGCAAAUGGGGAAGACACUUGCUUAUAUGCUCCCAAUGGUGAAAGGAGAUAAGAUAGUGGUGCAAGGAAGAUGAUAUACUGAUUCAGGCUAAUCACUAAAACACCACACUGAUUGGAUAUGUCUUGUGUGAAAUCCAUAUUUCAAAACAAUGGAGAAUUAUAUAAAUUAUGUGUGGAACUUUGUCUCUAAACUCCAGGUACUAUGAUGAUGGCUAUAACAUCUUCAAAUUUGCAACACUAGCUUAUAGGGACGUAGUGAUGUAAUCGGGGCCAUAUACAUACCAAAAUAGACCAUUUAUCUUAAGGAAUUAGACGCUUGACUUUGAAUUUAACCCUGAAUGCUUGAAUAAAAUUCUCUUGUAGGUUAAAUUCCCUAGUCUACCUCUUAAGUUUUGGUCUACUGAUUCAUUGAGUAAACUUGUAAGUGUUGUGGGGAGGCCAAUGUCCACAGACAAUAACACUAUAGUGAUGGAACAUAUUUCAUUUUUGAGGGAAUUAGUUAAGGAAGACAUCGGCCAUACUUUCCAUACACUGGUGGAAUUAAGUACUCCAAUAGGGACUAUACAGCAGGCCAUAACUUCUGUUUGGGUCCCUAAGUUCAGUAGUGACUGCAAUAUUUGGACAUAAGGUUGAAGACUAUCCAUACAAGAAGGAACUGCAGAAAGGAAUUCAAGUUGAUCAACCCCCACAGAAGGAAAGAAGGAGGAAAAAUCAUAGACGUGGAAGAGUAAUCUAGAAAUAAGAAGCCAAAGAAGGUGGAAAACCCAAACCUCAGCAGGUCAAAGAAACACUAGCUUGUCUGACUGAGGAGGAAAAUUGUAAGACUAUCAAGGACCAGAUAGAAGAUCAACCAGGUAGUUGUCAACAUGAGGUAAGAGUAAGAGAGCAUGCAGCCUAGGUAUCUCCUAGUCAAACUGAGAAAGAUAAUGCAGGAAUUGUUCAAAAAAAGGGAAGAAAGUAAUAGGUGAGAAGGUUAACACUAAUGUUGUAGGUAAAAGUUACUUCAAACCCCUAUAAUUCUAUGCUCCUGAAUAUUAGAGGGCUGAAUAACCCCUUUAAGCAGAACGAGAUGAAGCUCUUUCUGAGGAAGAACAAGGUGAAAAUCAUAGGAUUUAUAGAAACUAGAGUAAAGAGCUAGAAUACAUAUAAAAUUAAAACAAAGAUUGCUAGGGAUUGGAAUGCCUACUAUAACCACAGUCAUGCUACAGAUGGGAGGAUUUGGCUAAUAUGACAGAAGCAUAUCCAAGUGCAGGUGUUAAAAAUGAGAGAUUAGUCUAUGCAUUAUAGUGUAGUCAACACCAACACCCAGUUUACCUCUAUAUUGACCACUGUCUAUACCAGUAAUGAGUUGGGAGUGAGGCAAGACCUGUGGAAGGAUAUCAUAAUAUUGGAUGCUCAGAUCCAAGUUGAAUGGCUGGUAUAUAGAUACUUUAACAAUGUAUUCAGCUCAGGAGAUAGAAUUGGUACCCCAAUCACUCAGGUUGAGGUAUGGGAGUUUAAGGACAUGAGCGAGGCCAACCAGCUCACCCCUUUAAAGAGUUUAGGAUGCCACUUCACAUAGUGCAACAAACAUGCAGAGGAUACUAGAGUAUAUUGUAAGAUUGAUUGGGCAUUUGGGAACUACUGGUAGCUACUGACCCAAGGGCAUAUAGAAGCAAAUUACAUGGCACCGAGGGUUUCGGACCAUUCUCCUAUUUUGAUCAAUUGUAAUUCACAAACCCCCAAAGCCUUAUAUCCAAAACCAUUUAAGCUAUACUCUACUGUGAUGAAUCACCCUAACUUCAGGAAGUAGGUACAAGAGGCUUGGUCUAAAGAGGUAUAUAGUGAUCCCAUGCAGGUUGUUUGGGGAAAGUUAAAGGUUGUGAAGGUAGAUAUAAAGGACCUGAACAGUUAUUUAGCAUCAUGCCAAAAAAAUUAGAGGUUGCCAGGUAGAAUUUGGAAGUUGUGCAAGCAAGUAUUGUUGUGCGCCCCCUGCAAUGCACAACUGUUUGAUUAGGAAAAGAUUGUAAUGGCAGAAAUGGAGAAAUAGAGUAUUGUAGAAGAGAAGGUGAUGAUACAAAAAGUAAGGGCCUUAUGGAUACAUAGUGGUGACUUAUAUACUAGGUACUUCUAUGCCCAAUGGAAGAUCAAAUCAAGUAUAUAUGUCAUCACUUCUGUACAUACUGAAGCUGGAGCUCGGCUGACUAAAUGUGUUGAUAUUGAAGCUAAAUUCAUCUCAUUCUUCUCUAAUCUCAUGGGGAAUGAGAGAGAGAUGCAUCUUUGUAUAGAUCCUAAAGUAGACCAAGAGGGUUACUGCUUAUAUAGGGAGCAUUAGAUGCUCCUAAUCCAAUAGUAACAACUGAGGAGGUAAAAGCAACAAUCGAUAUGAUGCCAAAGGAGAAGGCUCCGAGAGUUGAUGGAUUCUCAAUUGAGUUCUUUAGUACAUGCUGGUAUGAGGUACAAUCUAACCUGCUGAAUGUUGUUUUUAAUUUCUUCAAGACUAGUGAGAUGGGUAAAGGUGUUAAUUGCACUGAUGUAACUUUGGUCCCUAAAGUGCCUUCCUCUACACUUAUUAAAGACUAUAGACCUAUAGCUUGUUGUACCACUAUUUACAAGAUAAUCACAAAAGUAAUUACUGGAAGAUUGAAGAGUAUUAUAGGUGAUUUGAUAGGUAAUGCACUGUCUACUUUCAUUGAUGGAAGAUGUAUCACAGAUAACAUUUUAUUUGCUUAUGAACUAUUUAAAGGCUAUAAUAGGAAAUGUAUCUCUCCAAGGUGUGUUAUUAAAUUAGACACUAGGAAAGCUUAUGACUCUUUAGAUUGGGCUUUACUUAAAAGAUUAAUAAUGGAUAUGGGGUUUCUUAAUAAGUUUGUGGGCUGGAUAAUGGCAUGUAUUACCACUAUCUCUUAUUCCUUGACUCUAAAUGGUGGACUGACUAAGCCAUUCCAAGUCAAGAGGGGUAUAAGGUAGGGUGACCCAAUGUCACCAUAUUUGUUUAUGCUUGUAAUGGAAUAGCUAGAUAGGACACUAAAAUAGCUGGCUAGAAAUAAGAGUUUUUAAUUCCAUUCAAGAUGCAAGAAAGUAGGGUAACACAUGUAUGCUUUGCUGAUGAUCUCCUGAUGUUAUGUAAGGCAGAGAUUGGGUCUAUUAGUUUAUUAAACCAGCCAUUCAGUAAAUUCUCUCAAGUUCAAGGUUUGCAGGUGAAUGUUGAUAAGAGUUCCUUAUUCCUGGAUGGUAUUUCUGAGAACCUUAAAAAGGAAAUCUUAGAGAAGACAGGUUAUUGGAGUUUUUCCAUUCAAAUACCUGGGAGUACUUAUUGGUGUGAAGAAAUUAUCCAUUGCUCUAUGUUAGCCCUUGGUGGAGAGGAUUACUGCAAGAAAUACUUAUUGUUCUGCUAUACUCUUAACCUAUGCAUACAUACUCCAAUUAAUCAAGGUUGUGGUUUUUGGAAUGCAAUCAUAUUGGGCACAGGUAUUCUUGAUUCCAAAGACGAUACUGAAAUAUAUUGAGGCUAUAUGCAGAUCCUACUUGUGGACUAGUCAAGCUGAAAUCUCCAAAGAGGAACUUGUCUCUUAGGACAAAGUGUGCCUACCACAGGUUACAGAUGGUCUUAAAUAUAAUCAACUUAAUUCUAUGGAACAAGGCUUUCAUCACAAAGCACCUCUGGGCUCUUGCAAUGAAGAAGAACUUCUUAAGGAUUAAAUGGCUACACAACUUUUAUAUAAAGCAGUAGAACCUUGAACAUAUUUCCCUACCUAAGAAUGUCUCUUGGGUAGUUAGGAAGAUUUUGAACACCAUGAAGUUGGUAACUGAUUUACAACAAUUGCAGGGCCACAUGCUAGAUAGGUUGAAGCAGCUGCAGAAAGGAGAUAAAUUUAGCAUUAAAAAGCUAUACUUAUUGCAGAUACCUCAGCAUCCAAAAGUAACAUGGAAGAAGUUGAUCUUGCAACCUCAUAUGUAGUCUAGUCAUAAAUUUAACUUAUAGAUAGCUUUACAACAAAGAUUGACAACUAUGGACAAACUGAUAAAGAUUGUUAUCCCGGUCCCUAAAACCUGUGUGUUCUGUGGGUCAGCUGAUGAACUAUUUGAUCACUUAUUCUUUGAAUGUGGCAUUAAAAAGGACAUUUGGAGCAGGCUGCUUAGAUGGAUGGGCAAAGAUAGAAGAAUUGGAAGCUGGGAUGCAAAGGUAGACUGGCUGGUGACAGGGUUGAAGCAUACUUCAGGAUUUUGUGAAGUUGUUGUAGUUGUGUUCAACAUGAUGGUCUACUCAUUUGGAGAGCCAGAAACACCCUCAUAUUUCAAAAAGGAACCUAGAAACACCCUCACAUUUCAAAAAGGAACCUACUCUAGUGUUAGAAUCUAUAGAGAAAUGGCAUUGCAUAUAUAUACUAAUGGAAAUUUUGUAACAAAAUGACAUAAACACCAGCAGGCUGUAAAUUCAUAUCCUUGAUGUAUAAAUAGGUAGUAGUUGCUAGAUUAAUUUUAAUCAUGUAUGUAUAUGAGUAGUAUUUAGGAGAUGGAAGGUGAUUGGUCAACAAUCACCAAGGUUUGUAAUGACUAUUUUGGUGAAAUGAAAUACUAUUUACCAAAACAAAAAUUGUUACACCUAUAAAUUAAUUUUUAAUUCAAUUAUCCCAUUGAAGUCAAAUAUUUGUGUUGAUUAAUUAUAUCAUCCACAAAUUGAGUCUUAUUUCAAUCUUAUAAUAUUUAGAAUUACAUAUAAAUUGAAUUAAUUCAUUUUUUCCAAUUAAAGUCAAUAUUUUGAUUGACUAAUUGUUACACCCACAAAUUGAAUCUCAAUUAAAAUUCAAUUGAAGUUAGAUAUUUAUGUUAUUUAAUUGUUACAUCCUCGAGCUGAGUCUCAAUUCAUCUAAUAAUACCUAAAGUUACAUAAAUUGAAGCAAUUUAAUUUUUUUAAAUUAAAGUCAAACAUUAAACUUGACUAAUUUUUAUAUCUAGAAACUAACUCUCAAAUCAAUCUUAUAAUACUUAGAGUUACAUAAACUGAAGUAAUUUAUUUUUUUAAUUAAAGUUAAACACUAGAAUUGACUAAUUGUUACAUUCACAAACCGAGUCUCGAUUCAAUCUUAUAAUACUUAGAGUUAUAUAAAUUAAAACAAUUUAAUUCUUCAGUUAAAGUCAAACAUUAAAACUGACUAAUUAUUACAUCCACAAACUAAAUCUCAAUUCAAUCUUAUAAUACUUAUAAUUAUAUAAAUUUAAGCAAUUUAGAUUUCCGAUUAAAGUAAAACAUUAGAAUUGACUGAUGGUUACAUCCAUAAAUUGAGUAUCAGUUCAAUCUUAUUUUAUUCAUAUUUAUAUAAAUGUAAGUAGUUUAAUUUUUCAUUCAAAGUCAAAUAUUAUGAUUGACUAAUUGUUACAUAAUUGUGUUUCAAUUCAAUUUUAUAAUAUUGAUAAUUAUAUAAAUUGAAGCAAUUCAAUUUACAAUGACAAUCAAACUUUAGAAAUUGACUAAUUAUUCCACAAAUUGAGUUUCAAUUGAAGUCAAAAUUUUGUAUUGAGAAAUUGAAACAAUUCAAUUUUUCAAUUAAUACUAGAUAUUAGAAUUGCUAAUUGUUAUAUCCACAAAUUGAGCAUCAAUUCAUUUUCUUUAUUGAAGAUAAAUUUUUUUGUUGACUAAUUGUUACAUCUAAAAAUUAAUUCUCAAUUCAAUCUUAUAAUACUUAGAGUUAUAUAAAUUAAAGUAAUUUAAUUUUUAAGUAAAAUUAAAAUUAUAAUUGACUACUUGUUACAUACAAAUCGUGUCACAAUUCAAUAUUAUACUCAUAAUUAUAUAAUUUGAAAUAAUUUAAUUUUUUAAUUAAAGUCAACAUAUUUAUAUUGACGAAUUGUUACCUGCACAAAUUGGGUCUCAAUUCAAUCUUAUGUUACUUAAGAGUUAUAUAAGUAGAAGCAAUUCAAGUUUUCAAUUACAAUCAAACAUUUGAAUUGUUUCACCAAAAAAAAAUAUUUGAUUCGACUAACUGUUGCGUCCACAAAUUGAGUCUUAAUACAAAUUUUCAGUUGAAGAUAAAUUUUGUAUAUACUAAUUGUUAUAUCCACAAAUUGAGUCUCAAUUCAAUCAUAUAUAUUUAGAGCUAUAUAAAUUGAAGCAAUUCAAUAUUUUUUAAUUAAAGUCAAAUAUUAGAGUUGACUAAUUGUUCUAUCCAUAAAUUAAGCAUCAAUUCAUUUUUUCAGUUGAAGUCAAAUUUUCAGCUUACUAAUUGUUACAUCCACAAAUUGACUCCUAAUUCAUUCUUAUAAUACUUAGAGUUAUACAAAUUGAAAUAAUUCAAUUUUUCAAUUUAUGCCAAACAUUUAUGUCAAAGUUUGACCCAUGAUUAUCAUAUUCUUAUAUAUGUCUUACCUUUCUAUUUUGUUUUCAAUAAUUUUAUGCAUUCUAUGUUAGUUUUAUAAUUUUUAUUAAUAUUUUAAAUGUCACAUUAUUUGUCCAAAUAAGCACUCGGUUAUUAGUUUUACGGUUAUUUCAUAUGUUGUAUUUUUUUAAAUAUUUUUAUUCAAAAAUUAUAUUUAAUUUAUUUGAUAUUUUAUUUAGAUUUCAUAUAUNNNNNNNNNNAUCUAGGGCGGCCUAGUCUUGGAUCGUGACACCCUUACAACUCCUUAUGAUUCAAUUGUGUGAUAUUUGUGUGAAAAAUAAAAAAGAAAUCUGCUAGCACAAUUAAAAUUUGAGAUAUGUGAUUGAUUAUGUUUGGCCUGAUAAUGCAUUUGUAGUAGAAGUAUUUAGUAGGCACAAACAAGCCAAGUGUAUUUACUUGAUCUAAAAAUUCAUGGCUUGUGUCAAAAUUAUCAUGAUGUACUCAAAGUCUUUUAUAAUGUAGAUGAGAACACAUGUCCUACCCAUUGAAAAAAUUGAUAUUACUAAAUCUACCUUAAAAACUGAGUUUAUUGUGUCGACUUAACCUGCUGAAGAAGAGGAUUGUUUGAGAAAUUUAUUAUUUUGAAUAUCUUAUUUUUGAAACUAACUCCUUCUAUUUUGAUUCAUUGUGAUAACAUCGAAUUUAUUGAUAGAGUAUCAACCAUUAUUGUAAUGGUAAAUUCAGACGAUAAGAGGAAAACACAAUAUUGUAGAUCAUUUUUGUCAAUGGUAUACCAUUAAUAUUAAUUAUGUUAAAUCUUGUUAUAAUCUUGUCGAUUUAGAUCAAGGUCUUGGCAACGUAAAAGGUCUGAAGCACAUCAAAAGAGAUAUGCUUAAACCUAUAAAAAUCCAUGAGUCAGAUAUGAAGAAACCUAACUUGAGAACUAGAUCCAAUAACUAGGUUCAAUGCAAAGAAUGAAUCAUAUGACGAGUUAUUAUUAAAUGCACUAAUGUUUAAUCCCUCCCUAUGAUGUGGGUGCAUUUCUUCCUGUAAUGAUUUGUGAAGUUUGACUUUAAAAAAAAACUCUUAAUGUAUGUAGCUCAUAUAGGUGGGAGUUAAACUUAUAGAGCACUGUUGAUAGAUUUCACUUAUGUAUGUGUAGAAGUAGGUCGCUUCCUAUGAUAACUAGGCUUAUUGUCAAAAACAAAUAAAAAUUAGGAUAACACAAGGUCGUAUUGCUGGCCAUUAAAGCUUGUGUCAAUAUCUUGAUUAUUGUGUGUAAAUAAAGAUACUUUAUUUCCCUUAAGUAGCCAUAAUUCAAGUUUAAGACCACCACUGACUUUGAAGUAAAGAUUACUGUUUUACUGUCACGACUCAAAAAUAAAGCCAUGAUGGAACUUGUUGCGACCCCGCCUGGGCAAGUAAGUCAGCCACCAAAAAGGAAAGAAAAAGCACACAAUUAAUGAAACUAACAAGACGAGACUUGUAGGACAAAGUCAGGACAUCACAAAAUAUAAAUAAAAUGGAAGUCUAAAAAAAUAACAUAAAUCACCCAAAAUUCUAAUGUCAUAAUGUAAGAGUAUCUAAGUACAAUAUUCAAACUAAAAUACAUAAUCUGUCUUUAAUCCAAAAUAAAGACAAGGUAAAAGAUAGGAUGAGAUCUGAGAUUCGGCUUGAACACUAGAAUGAUCCAUACCUUGAAUCUGAUCAAACUCCCUUGAAAUCUCAAUCGCCAUGCAUAGUAAUCAAAUAAGUAUCUGCAUCAAAAGGGCAUAGUAGAAGUGAGUACAAUGAACUUGUACUCAGUAGAAAUCAUAAGCCAACUGAGCAAAGCAGAAAAUAAGAUAAGAAAAAAAAUUAUGAGCACGUCACCUAUAAGAAGAAAAAUCCCAAAUGGUAGCUCACACCAUCUCCACUAACUGUCCUAAUAUAUACACAAACAUAAAAGCAACAAAGUUAUAAACAAAGAAUAUACUAAAACUAAACACAAGCCAAGAGAAACUAAAAAAAUCAUGAAAGAUGAUUAUGCAAUUCAAUAAAAUACAAUGAGUAUGGGAAGAAUGCUGAGAGUUAUCACAUGACUUUCUAUAUACACCUACGAAGCACGCAGAUCCCAAGACAGGACCCAUAGGGGGUACACAAUCCAUAUACUGUAUCUCAUAUCUCAAAUCUCAAUCCACCUCUUCGUCUCGUGUUCACAAAGUGGGGUUUUAUGAAAAUGUCUCAUUUUCUUUCAAAAAUAAUGUCUCAUUUUCUUUCAAAAAUAGUCUUCCUCAAUGGUACCAGUAUCUCAUAAAUGUAUAUGUAUAGAAUGAGGAUGUAAUGCUCAAAAUCAAAUCAAUAUAAAGAUAUCUAGUCCAUCCAACACGCAUGUAAGUGACACAAAAACUUAACUUAGUAUGUACAUAGUUCAUGAUUAUCAACUCUAAUUAGGCACCACUAGAAUAAAUAUGCAUUUAAGACAUCAUUAGUAUCAUAUCAACUCCUAACUUGGGCAUUUAUAUCUUGAUAAAGGAAACCAAUGCUCAAUAUGGCCUAUAAAUAACAAUUCAGGCUACCGUACGAGCAUUAUAUAGGAGCAAAUUCAAUCCUUAUUCCUAGCAAUGAUUCCCAAAAAAGAAAAACCUCGCUAGACUGAGGCCCAUUGCUAUGGGCACUACACUAUAUAAAAGAAUGACUAAGGCAAUUGCCAAUAGUUUCUACUGAAAGACAUGCUGGCUCUUUAAAAAGGGCGCCCUCCUAAUCUCAUUUUGAUAGGAAAAGAUAUUGAUAAUUAUCCCAAGGAGGCUUACUAAGCUAAUAGAUAUCUAGAAUAAAUCUAUUUAAAUGCACAUAUAAGGUCAAUGAUGUCAAAUAAAGGCCCUAUACAGGCAUCACGCAAUAUUAGAUCUCACAAGUUAACAACAAUAGAAUAUAAGCCCUACAUAGGUACAGAUCAGUAAUAAUAUUCUCAAAAUAUAAAUUCCGCAUUUAUUUUUCCCAACCCAUAACAUGCUUUACUUAUUUAUUAACUACCCAACUCAAUAUGAAAGAAGUUAAGACAUAACCUGCCCCGAGAUGAUGAAAUUCAAGCCUAAAGUUCUUCAACACAAAGAUUUCCCUUUUUGAACGGCCUGAGAAUCAAUUACAACAUUCAAAUAUAGCAUCUACACAAUAAUGAAAGUCGAUGAUACCCACAUCGCCUAUAUUUGAGUUGGGUUCAAAAUGGGUUUAAAAAUAAACAGGGUAUUAAUUUUUUUUUUUUCAAAAUAAAUUCUCUAAGGUUAAAGGAAUCUAUAGUUGAAAAACCAUGUAAAAUGAGUUUAAAAUGAGGUCCAAAUUAAAGAAAAACUAUUUUUAAGCUUUACCAGUAAAAAUCUCAAAAUCCCAUUUCAAAAUAAUGAUUAACAAGUAUUUUCGAAGAUUAAUCAAUGGAAACUAAUGGGGAUAUGAGUUUAGAGGUUACCCACAUGAAACACGAUGAAGAAACCCACAAAAAUUAUCUUUUCCAAAGCUUGCGGUUUAAAAAAUAGAUAAAAAUUGCAAAAUUAAGGCUUAAAACUGUUCUGUGAAUAGUGCCUUGCUAACAUGCUAAACCCUUCGCGUUCACGAUGAUCAACUUUGACUAGCCAAAAGUUUGGCCUUCGAGAUAGCCUUGGUGCAUUAAUAAUGAAGGGUAAUUUCCUUCUCUGUGUUCAUGGCCAAGGUCUUGUAUUCGCGAAGAAGACUCCAUGCACCAGAUAUUAGCCAUGCACCAACUCAAUUUUCAUGGUUCUGAAUCCUUCGAAUGGAUCCUUAUAAUUCAUUAGGGAAUUGAUAAAAAUAAAACAUAUAUGCUACCAGGCUAUAUUUGAUGUUCCAAACUCAAUGGUGAUUUUGAAUUUUCUAAAAAAAUAUUUUUUUAAUAAAUUAACCCUUGGGGUCCAUUUUGGCAUUUUUAAAAAUGAAUUGUCAAAAUGCAACCUAAAGGUUUCAAACCCGAACCAGCUCUUCUACUAAUCCAAAUUUGAUAUUUUGGACCUGAUGAAAAUGUCCAACUUGCAUCUGACACUCAGAACAACAAAUGUUGAGCAAAGUCAAUUAUAUGAUUUUUAAAGUCUUUAAAAACCAUAAACUCAAUCAAAUCAUUCCCAAUUGCCUUGUGAAUCGUGCCAACCAUCCCCACAUCCCAAAGUCAACAUAUAGUCACUAUGGAGAAGGGAAAAAUGAUCAAAAUAUAUUAAAAUAAGAUUUCAUAAGUCAGUUCAUUACAUUUAUUUAGUGAAAGUUCAAUGUAGAACACACCUUCAUUAUGAAUAAUAGUCUUCCUUCAAUUAAAUUGAUGAAAUACUCUCUUAUUUUAUUAUUAAAAUAAGUUUAGAAAUGUUGGUAGUUAUACAUGUUUAUAUUAAAUUAAAAUAUUAAGUGUGUAUGUUAGUGGGUAUAAAUUGUGGCAGAAGGUAACCAUUAGUUUUUUAUUACUUCUAUAACAUCUACCUCAUCAUGCCUUGUAACUCAUGUGACAUCUAAGCCACGCAUCUACCCACUUUACCACCCAUAUUCAUCCUGUUCAUUACGAAAAAGAAUUCUAAGAGGUCCUUUAUAUUUAAGUACCUGGAUUUGUUCAUCUUUUUGAAUUAAUCAGGUUAACUGUCUAAUUAGAUUGAAAUCUUAGAUUGAGAAGCAUUAGCUAUUUUAGAAAAAUAUCUCUGAGAACCUUGGGGGUGAUAAACUAACUAAUGUUUAUCAAGAUGUUUGGCUAAGUCAACCUUAAGGAAUAUAUGUUUGUAUACUUGAAGACAAAUGGAAAGAUUUGAUCAGUAUUAACAGAAAAUUUAUUGUUAUAAUAUAUAUAUANNNNNNNNNNNNNNNNNNNNNNNNNNNNNNNNNNNNNNNNNNNNNNNNNNNNNNNNNNUAUAUAUAUAUAAUAUACUGUAAUAGAAGUGUGAGUGAAAAUAGCGGUAUUAGCAUAGUUGUUUCAGUGUGUCUUUUAAAUGAUGUUUGGGGACAAUUUAGUAUUUUAGCACCUUUUGAAGAUGAGUUCUACUCUCUCCUAACAAACACAUGUCCUCCAUGUGCCACCCAUUAUAGUUAUUUAUUUCUUUUCUAAAGGCUACACCCAGUAACCUAGAUGACCAUUCACUUUUAUCCUCCCUAUGUGCCGCCUUUGAUCCGUAUCACCCCCAUCUCUGCUGUAAAUGCUGCCAUAAUAGGAUUUUUGCUCCGAUGAAUCAGUGUGUUGUGUUUAUCUUCCUAAAAUACACAUAGUUUUAUUAUUGCUCUAUAUAAUUGUGUUAGUUUCUUUAUGUUAUUGAUUAUUAAUUAUGCAAACUUUAGUACCUUUUUAUUGUGUUUUACAGAUUGAAUUCUGUGAUAUUUAUCAAAGAUUAAUUUAUUUUGAAAAUAUGUGUUUAUACAGAAUUCAUAUCCAUGGUCACCUACAAUUAGAGAUUUUGGAAUCCUAAUAUUCCAUAGAUUCAUGGCACUUGGACCCAUGGGGCGUGAGUGAAGGUGUGAGUUGAGGUUUCAAAGUUGAAAAGUGAAGUCUGAUUCCCAUGAAGCAACCCAUGAUCGAUGAAUCCAACCCACGACUCGUUAGUUGGAGUCGUGAGUCAAGUACUGAAGCUUUAGGAUUAGUUUUGAUUUUCACGAGUCAAAUCAUGACUCGUGGAUCUAAUCCACGACCCAACCCACGAGUCGUAGGUGCUACAGACCUGUUUCUCUUACACAAUUUAGGAUAUGAUUUAUUUUUCAUCUAUAAACAAUCCUAUACAGUUCUAUGCUUAUGUUACACGCUCUAUAUACUUUCUUUUUACAUUAUUUUGAGUUUUGAGAUACAUUAUUGAUCUUGAAAUCAUUGAUAUUGAUUUUUAAGAUUUUUUAAUCAAUUUGAGAUUUUGGUUUUUCAUUUUAUUCUUGUAAGUUCAACAUUAUGCUUUUAUCUAUGAAAUCUUUAUGUGUGCUUACGAUCAUGAGUAGCUAAAUCCCAUAACUAAGGUUAUGGGUGUCAAAAUGUUUUUUCACGCGAAAGGUCUAAGAAUUUUUUCAUCUAAAGUGACAAUAUUGAUUAGGGAUUAUUUAAUUUAUAGAGACACCACUUGAAAUUGAUUUAUGGUAUUUCAAGUCACCUUAUUAAAUCCCUAGUCAAAAGAAAAUGACUCUUUAUUUUGGUCUACGAAAACAGAAGAUCGAGUAAGGAAUUCUGUUGACUGAGGGAAAGGUAUGAGGCAUCACUCGAGUCCCAUGGUUCUAGCAUGGUUGAUUUUAUCAACUUAUACUUAAGAUAUUUUGGAUAUAUUGCGUUAGUAGGCCUUGAUUCAAUCAUUUUAUAAUGUAGCGAUAAUAUCUAUCUAUUCCUCCUGGUUAGUCUAGUGAAGGUUAAUUUUAGGACAAUCUUUGCCAAGGUACAUUAUUGCAUCUGUGAAUUAUUUUUAAAAGUUUCAGAAAGAUGCGUUCACUGCAUUAUUAAUCAAGACAAAUAUAUUAAACGUGCCUGAAGCUUAUCUAGCGUUAAAGGAAUUGGGUCGUCUCUUGUAAACCCGAGACAAUUUUUGUCUUAUCCAUUUUUACUUUUUACUCUUUUUUUAUUUUGCAACAAGUCUUGAAUUAAUUCACAACUCGCCACACUAUCUUACAAAUAGAUUUUUUUCUCUCUUUUCUUUUAUUAUUUAUGACGAGUUUUAGAUGAGUCCGCAACCUUUCUUACUCAAGCUUACAUUAAUUAAUAAUUAUUUAGAUCUUAAAAUCGAUUUAGACCUACGAUAAAUAUUUUAAUAAUGAAAGGAUUGAACCAACAUUUAUCAUGAUAAACAUAAAUAAGGUAUCAAAUUUUGCAAUACUACAACUUACCCAUAGAAACACAAGAAAAAAGACAAUUAAGCAAAUUCAAAUGGCCAUAUAACAAAUCUCUUAUCUUGGUUUCCC